UAAUAAGCAUUGACCGAAAGAGUAGUAAAGCGGCACCUAAAAAGCGAGAUCCUGAUAGUGAGAGAGGAUUAGUUAAACUUUAUGAAGGUAGUUCGGGAGCUGAUAUACUGAAAUUAAUAGUAGGUAUGUCCGGUUCAUUUACCGUUAUGAAAUGAUAAAGUGGAGUAUUUUAUACUCAAAUUAGGUGGUACCGCGAUGAUUCGUCCUAUCG
rnacentral:ncRNA from 2 species